CAACGCGGGAAUCUUACCGGGUCCGGACACACUGAGGAUUGACAGAGAUUAAUAAUUACUUUUUAAGUAUUUAUUUAAAGAUGCUAGUUCUUUCAUGAUUAUGUGAUAGGUGGUGCAUGGCCGUUCUUAGUUCGUGGAGUGAUCUGUCUGCUUAAUUGCGUUUCAUAUUAAUAUGAAUACUAUUACUAUUUUAAUUAUUAGUCUGACCCCUUACUUCGGUAGGCGUGUGU
rnacentral:rRNA from 1 species